AUUUAGGAUGCGUUCCACAUCAGAGAUGCGGGCAUCCCAGUUGCGCUGGUCCGUGCGGGCGUACGCGCGUAUUGCCGUAUUUAUAGAACGAUUCGUUCGUUCUACCGGGAAUCGGCUGAAUUCUCUGGAGAUGAACGUCGAACCAUUAUCGCUCAACAAGAUUUCCGGACUUCCAUGGCGGUUGAACCAGGAUCGCACAAAGUGAGGCGCUGCAAAUUUUGCGAACGGGGGUCAACAUUACGUACUUGCUGAAGACGUCGAGGACGACUAGCAAGUGUUGAUUGCCCCGUUUGCUUCGAGGAAGUGGGCCUAUGUAGUCCACCGAAAUCAUCUGCCACGGUGCACCGGUUGUCCCACAUUGGCGAAUAUAUUCGCGAACUUCUGGUCCCAUACGAGGCCAAAAAUAGCGUUUUUGAACCUCGUGAAUCGUUUUAUCGUAUCCCACAUGAAGCAAUUCAUCGUGAGUACGCUGCACGAUUUCUUCUCGACACUCGGGGGUUGGGACCAAUUUCCAACUAAACCGAGAGUCGAAUGGUACACUUUUCGAGGCCACGUAUUUGAAAAGUUUACCAUCUUCAACUUUAAAGUCAGGGUAAUCAUCAGGAUUAUCUGAAACUUAAGACUUCAUGGAACAAUACCAGUCUGAAGUGGACAAUGCCGAAAUGGCUGCUACAGCACAGGAUAAGGCAUCCGGAACGACAUUGUCCUUACCUUUCCGGUGCUCAAUGGACAUGUCGUAGAGUUGUAGUUCCAAACUCCACCGACUCAGGCGCGAACUGGUUUUCCAUUUGGUCUUCAAUAUCCAGGUAAUGGCCGAUGAAUCAGUGACAAGUCGAAAAUGAUAACCUUCCUAGUAACGUCGGGAGUGUUCAACCGCCAUAAUCACCGCCAGACCUUCCUUUUCGGUAGCGUGGUAAUUCAGUUGGGGAGUGGUUAGCUUAUGUGAAAAAUAAGCCACCACUUUUUCCCCCUCUGGAUGUUCUUGCACCAAAACAGCCGCGACAGCAGUGUCGCUGGCAUCUGUCUGCAAAAUGAAUUCCUUUGAAAAAUCUGGCGGGACAAGCACAGGAGGAGUGACUAAAAGUUCCUUUACCUUCAGGAACGCGAGUUCUGCUUCGGAGUUCCAGCCAAUAUUCUUGGCCUUUGUUUUCAAGAGGUCUGUCAAAGGUGCGGUUACCUCACUAAACCGAUCAAUGAAACGCCGGUAGUAACCGCACAUUCCAAGGAAUCGGCGCAGUUUAGUAACCGUCACCGGCCGCUCGUAAUCGAGUAUCGGCUGAAUUUUGUCAGGAUUGACCUUUAGA